AUAAAUUUUUUAUAGUUUUAAUAAUUUAUUUAAAGUUUAUUUUACAUAUAAAUUUUAGUAUUAAUUUUACUUUAUUUUAAUAAUAAUUUAAUUAAUUUGUAGUAAUUAAUAUUAAACAAUUUAAGUAAUUAAGAUUUAGUAAUAUUUGAAAUUAAUAACAAAUUUUGUGCCAGCAGUUGCGGUUAAACAAAAGUUAAUUUAAAUUUUAUUAGUUAUUAAUAAAUAAUAAUUUUAAUUAAAUAAUAUAAAUUUUAAAUUAUUAAGUGAAAUUUUAAUUUAAUUUAAUAUUAUGAUAUAUUUAUGAUUUAAUAAAUUUUAUAAAAAACUAGGAUUAGAUACCCUA
rnacentral:rRNA from 1 species